AUACGGAGGGUGCAAGCGUUAAUCGGAAUUACUGGGCGUAAAGCGCGCGUAGGCGGCUUUGUAAGUCGGAUGUGAAAGCCCUGGGCUCAACCUGGGAAUUGCAUUCGAUACUGCAUGGCUAGAGUAUGGUAGAGGGUAGUGGAAUUCCUGGUGUAGCGGUGAAAUGCGUAGAUAUCAGGAGGAACAUCAGUGGCGAAGGCGGCUACCUGGAUCAAUACUGACGCUGAGGUGCGAAAGCGUGGGGAGCAAACAGGAUUAGAAACCCCGGUAGUCC
rnacentral:rRNA from 1 species